CGGGUGAGUAACGCGUAUGCAACCUGCCUGCCACAGCCGGAUAAUCGGGAGAAAUUCCGUCUAAUACGGCAUAAUGCAUCGACGGGACAUCCUGUUGGUGCCAAAGGUUGAUUCCGGUGGCGGAUGGGCAUGCGUCGCAUUAGUUAGUUGGCGGUGUAACGGACCACCAAGACGACGAUGCGUAGGGGUUCUGAGAGGAAGGUCCCCCACACUGGUACUGAGACACGGACCAGACUCCUACGGGAGGCAGCAG
rnacentral:rRNA from 1 species